CCNCCCCAAAUUAGUUCAUAUGAGGCACUUUUUUUUUUUUCCAGCAUCACCUUGGAAUGUAUAAGGAUCUCUACAGAAGGAGAAAUGCCAUGUAUGCCCAUUACCAAGACUUGCUCAAUAAGAAAGUUCAAAAGCAGAGAAUUCAGAUUCAAAUGUCUGAUUGUAGGCUCAAGCAAAAUCCUGAGCAGCAAAGAGGAAAAAAGAUUAUAGGACUACAGAAUGAACUAAUUAGGCAUGGAGUCUUAAAGAACCAACAGGACUGUGAAGACUUUUGGAAACUGAUUCCCCAGAGCUGUCACAGUUCACAGCUCAAAGAAAAACUUGAGGACAUAAAAUCAAAAAGUUGGGUUUCUUACACAUUUGGUCAUACCUGAA
rnacentral:lncRNA from 1 species